GACGAACGCUGGCGGCGUGCUUAACACAUGCAAGUCGAACGGAAAGGCCCUGCUUUUGUGGGGUGCUCGAGUGGCGAACGGGUGAGUAACACGUGAGUAACCUGCCCUUGACUUUGGGAUAACUUCAGGAAACUGGGGCUAAUACCGGAUAGGAGCUCCUGCUGCAUGGUGGGGGUUGGAAAGUUUCGGCGGUUGGGGAUGGACUCGCGGCUUAUCAGCUUGUUGGUGGGGUAGUGGCUUACCAAGGCUUUGACGGGUAGCCGGCCUGAGAGGGUGACCGGCCACAUUGGGAAUGAGAUACGGCCCAGACUCCUACGGGAGGCAGCAGUGGGGAAUAGUGCACAAUGGGCGGAAGCCUGAUGCCGCAACGCCGCGUGCGGGAUGACGGCCUUCGGGUUGGAAACCGCAUUCGCCUGUGACGAAGCGUGAGUGACGGUAAUGGGUAAAGAAGCACCGGCUAACUACGUG
rnacentral:rRNA from 1 species